AUAGGAUCGAGUAUAGGGCUGUUCGACAUCUUUUUUGACAUUUGUUGUCAUCGCGGCAACGCAGCAGUCGUUGGUAGAUUUUAUCUGCUAUGACUGUUUUUUUGUAUUGUGCGAAAUGUGAAUAAAUUUGAAUGUUACAGUCGAACAAUUAGUGUUUAGUGUCGUUAUUUUCUUUUUUUAAAAUCUGAUUACUACUAUACAGUUAAAACUAAAUUAAACUUUUACUUUUCUACUGAAAAGAGCACAAUUGACUACCGAUCACAAUUCUGUCGUACCAGAUGAAAUCUACUAACGACUGCUGCGUUGCCGUGAUUGAUACAAAUGUGAAAAAAGAUGUCGAACAGCCCUAUAUCUCUAGAGCGCAAAAACUACAAAAAACGUCUUGUUGCAAAAUUUUUUUGUUUAUCAAAAUUAUCUGAAUUAUUUUACAGAAAUGGACAGAGUUGAAACGAGCUUUACGAGAGCUUGAGCUUUAGCUCAAAAGCUCACUCAUUUUGUGAGCUUUGAGCUUGAGCUUCGCUCUUUUUGAAAAAGUGUGAGCUUGAGCUUGAGCUUUUGCCUCAUGAGCGGAAGCUCACGCUUGUGGCGCCAUCUAGCGGCCAAAAUUGAAAGUGGUUGCCGAAAUGAGACAAAUCUCCGCGUUUGGAGGUGGAAAGCUGUCUGUGCUACUUGCUAAUAGCCUAGCCUAUACUAGUUGCUUAUGCUUACAGUUACAGCUUAGUGAUUGAACUGAACAAAUAAAAACAUAAACUUGAAAUCUGAAACUGAAAGUCUUAAACUCUUUAGAGAGUAGCGACUAAUGAGAAAUGGCGUCAAAAAAGCGAACAGCUUCUACAAGUUUACAAAGUCAAAGUCAUGUGGGUGCUGUAGGUGGUGAUCAAGUUGAUUGUGAAACUGUAAAUGUAGAGAAUAAUGAUUCUGGCAGCGAUGGGCAUGAUUCUGGCAGAUUUGUCAUUCUCAUUCAAUGUUAGACCAUUGAGCAUUGACCGCUUUCUCAUGAAAGCAAAUCUGAAAAAAAUACACUGUUUUGAUUGUCA